GACGUAGGGCGCGAGCGUUGUCCGGAUUUAUUGGGCGUAAAGAGCUCGUAGGCGGCUUGUUGCGUCGACUGUGAAAACCCGCGGCUUAACCCCGGGCCUGCAGUCGAUACGGGCAGACUAGAGUGCGGUAGGGGAGACUGGAAUUCCUGGUGUAGCGGUGAAAUGCGCAGAUAUCAGGAGGAACACCGGUGGCGAAGGCGGGUCUCUGGGCCGUAACUGACGCUGAGGAGCGAAAGCGUGGGGAGCGAACAGG
rnacentral:rRNA from 1 species